UCCUUAUCAUCGUCGUCGAUUCCGGUACCUUCUCUUCUUCCAAAAAAAAAAAAAAUGAUAUCUAUGAGGACUAUUUGAUGAACAGCAGAGCAAGGAAUGCUUCAUCAUUCGUCCCUGCUAAAGCCCUAAUUACAAAUA